UACAGAGGGUGCGAGCGUUGUCCGGAAUUACUGGGCGUAAAGGGCGCGUAGGCGGCUUGGUAAGUCGGGGGUGAAAGUCAGCGGCUCAACCGCUGGACUGCCUUCGAGACUGCCUGGCUUGAGCAUGGUAGAGGCUGGCGGAAUUCCCGGUGUAGCGGCGGAAUGCGUAGAGAUCGGGAAGAACAUCGGUGGCGAAGGCGGCCAGCUGGGCCAUUGCUGACGCUGAGGCGCGACAGCGUGGGGAGCAAACAGG
rnacentral:rRNA from 1 species